rnacentral:lncRNA from 1 species
AAGCAGAUAAUUAAUCUUUUUUUGGUGCAAAUAAAUGUAUAAAAAUAUCUUUAUUGUAUACUAAACCCCUAUUAAAAAAAAUUCAAAAUUAUUUUUAAUUUUUAAUAUUAAAAAACCUUUUAACUUUAAUUUUUUAAAAAAAAUUAAAAAGAAAACGAGCACCACCAUUUUCAAUCCACUGUCUCCUUCACCACCGUUAACACUACACCGCCUGCAACCCAUCAUUACCACUACCAUUGCUUCAUUGUUGCACGCAUGCAACCGCCACCACAAUCAGUGUCCCACCUCCUUAUCACCAUCAAAACAACCAAACCAUGUUCUAAUCUCUUCUAAAAAUCAAAUACCCAAAAGCAAAAACAACAACAUUCCUUGCCGCAAUUAAUUGACCAACAACAUAUUUCAAAUGUUGCCUCGGCCAUAUCUCAAUUUGCUUCAGCCUCUCAAGUAGAACAGUUGUGGCAUCCUCAAGCAAACAUCCUAUUAGUUAUGUUUCAUUAGCAACCUUCUCAGGCAAACAUCUAAAAAUACUGAAUAGCAAAUAUCAACAAAAUUAAUGCAAAACAAGAAAGAUAGAAACAAAAAAAUCCAACAAUUUGCCUAUGAUUCACAAUUUCCAAAACAUUACAAAAAAUAAAAAGAUGAAUGUACAAAUACCUUCGCAUCUAAAGACAACAUUCUAUUUUUAAGGCUCCAUCAACGGCUGCAAAUGUCUUCAGUACAUUCUUAAAGCACAAUCAAUGGUUGCAAAUGCCUUUGCAUCUAAAGACAAAGUUGUCAAAACCCAUCAACACAACAAAUGGUACCAUGAAAGGAUGACUCGAGAACAAGCCCUGCUGCAAGCAAAGAGCAGAACUGUUAUGAUGGCGUUGCUAUGAUGAAUGAUGCUAAAAUCGCUAGAUUUAUGAGCUACAGUUCUAAAAGAAAUAUUAAAGGAUCAAAAGGAAGAACAAACAAAUUAAAGAAAGAGGAUAUAAAUUGAUGUGAGCAGCAGUUGUAGAGAGAAGAAAACUGAAUUUUUUAGAAAGGAAAAUAGGAAAGGAAUGAACUAUGGAGGUGGGAUUGUUGGUAUUUGAACUAGGAAAGGAAUGGCUUUUAGCUUUUGGAUAUUUGAUUUUUGAACUACGAAAGGAAUAGCUUUUGGGUAUUUGAUUUUUGAAAGAGUUUAGACCCAUAGUUAGGUUUUUGGUUGUUCUAAUGGUGAUAAAGAGGUGAGGGGUUGCAUGCGGUGGAGUGUUAAUGGUGGUGAAGGCGGCAACGAAUUGAAAAUGGUAGCGUUCAUUUUUCUUUAUUUUUUAUUUUUU